AGUGAACGCUGGCGGUAGGCCUAACACAUGCAAGUCGAACGGCAGCACACUACGAGCUUGCUCUUACGGGUGGCGAGUGGCGGACGGGUGAGGAAUACAUCGGACUCUACUUUUUCGUGGGGGAUAACGUAGGGAAACUUACGCUAAUACCGCAUACGCCCUACGGGUGAAAGCAGGGGAUCUUCGGACCUUGCGCGAUUGAAUGAGCCGAUGUCGGAGUAGCUAGUUGGCGGGGUAAAGGCCCACCAAGGCGACGAUCCGCUGCUGGUCUGAGAGGCUGGUCGGCGACAUUGGAACGUGAACAGGGUCCAGGGUCCUACGGGAGGGACCAGUGUGGAAUGGUGGGCAAUGGGGGCAAGCCUUGUCCAGCCGGAGCGAGUGGGUGGAGAAGGCGCUCGGGUUGGAAAGCCCUUUUGUUGGUAGAGAAAAGCAUCAGGUUAAUACGCCGCUGUUCUGACGGUACCGAAAGAAGAAGCACCGGCUAACUUCGUG
rnacentral:rRNA from 1 species